UGCGAACUGCAUCAGUUAUAAACAGAAAUAUAGAGACCAAAUAAUAGUUACACAACUCCUGUGAAUCCGUGAUCAUCACUAGUAGUAAUAACAGAUACAGCUAUAAGACGAUCGAUCGGUAAGCAGCCAUCAAUAUCGUCGUCGAUCAACAUGAGUAUUUUAAUUAGCUUGCAACUUGUAGUCGGCUUGCUAUUGUCUACGGUUGGCAUCUUCCAUUGCCAAGCUUUGUCUCCUCGUUACACUUUUGUGGUUGAAGAAACUUCAUACAAACGACUGUGUAGCACAAAGAACAUCUUGACUGUAAACGGCCAGUUUCCGGGACCAACAUUGUAUGCUCGUGCUGGAGAUACUGUCAUAGUGGAUGUCUAUAACAAGGGCAAUCGUAACAUUACCCUCCAUUGGCAUGGAGUUAAGCAACCGAGGAACCCAUGGUCAGACGGUCCUAAUUACAUCACGCAAUGUCCUAUUCAACCAGGAGCUAGGUUUACCCAAACCAUUAUAUUUUCCUCAGAGGAAGGGACCCUAUGGUGGCAUGCUCACAGUGAGUGGGAUCGAGCCACCGUCCACGGUGCUAUAGUCAUAUACCCCAAGAAGGGAGCCACUUACCCUUUUACCAAGCCUCACGCAGAAUUACCAAUCAUCUUGGGAGAAUGGUGGAAGGAAGAUAUUGGACAAAUUUACGAUGAAACGAUUCAAAGUGGUGGGGACCCUAAUAAUUCAGAUGCUUACCUCAUCAAUGGUCAACCCGGCGAUCUCUAUCCUUGCUCAAAACCAGACACAUUCAAGCUCAUAGUUGAUUACGGCAAAACCUACCUGCUCAGACUAAUCAACUCUGCCGUGCAGGAGAUGAUGUUUUUCGCCAUUGCCAAUCACAACGUCACGGUUGUAGGCUCAGAUGCUAGCUAUACCAAGCCAUUUUCAACAGAUUAUGUAACCAUAUCUCCAGGGCAAACUAUUGAUCUCUUGUUAAAUGCCGACCAAAGCCCCAACAACUACUACAUUGCUGCUAAAGCCUAUGUUGCCGGGGCUAGAAUUCCCUACGACAACACAACCACCACCGCAUUACUCCGAUACAACAGAAAUUCUAGUUCAACCCCUACUUCGUUGCCUAAUCUUCCUUCCCAUAACGACCAACGCAUCAGUUCACUUUACCAGUAAACUCAAAAGCUUGGCUGAUAAAAACCACCCUGUUGACGUGCCACACAAGAUAACAACUCCUUUGUUUUUUACACUAUCCAUCAACACACUACCCUGCCCGAGCAAUUCAUGUACUGGGCCUAAUGGGACACGUUUUGCCACCAGUAUCAACAACAUUAGCUUUGUCGACCCUACCAUUGACAUAUUGCAAGCUUACUAUUUCCAUGUUAAUGGGGCAUUUGGAACUCGCUUUCCAAAUUUCCCGCCCUUGCUGUUUAAUUUUACAGCUCAGGACUUGCCGUUGUACCUACAGACGCCGAAGCAAGCGACGGAGGUGAAGAUACUGGAGUACAACUCAACUGUGGAAAUUGUGUUUCAGGGGACAAAUUUGGUGGGAGGAGAUGACCAUCCGAUGCAUCUCCACGGAUUCAGUUUCUACGUUGUGGGACGGGGGCUUGGGAAUUUUGACAAGGACAAGGACCCUUUGACGUAUAAUCUUGUUGAUCCUCCUCUUCAAAACACCAUCGCUGUCCCUAUAAAUGGUUGGACUACCAUUAGAUUCAAGGCAGACAAUCCUGGCGUUUGGUUUAUGCACUGUCAUCUGGAUCGACAUAUGUCAUGGGGCAUGGACAUGACGUUCAUAGUGAAAAAUGGAAAGGGCCCAGGAGCGCAAAUGUUACCUCCGCCACAAGGAAUGCCUCCAUGUUAACAAUUGUUAUAAAGCUUUCGAGUUGGAUUCUGUUGGAAAUUUAAUUAUUAAAAAUUAUUAUUAUUUAUGAUUUCUUGUGGGCUAAGGAUAUUAUAGUUUCUUACCCGUUAAGGCUUGAGUUUGCUUUAGUUUUCACUAUAUAUAUAUGGUAAUGUUUAUAUAGGCAGCUUCAGUUUGUAGCCAUCUCGGCAACCUUAAUUAUUUGUUUUCUGUUUAAUAAAAUAGUGUUCAUAGUUUAUCUUC